rnacentral:rRNA from 1 species
GACGAACGCUGGCGGCGUGCUUAACACAUGCAAGUCGAACGGACAGGCCCUGCUUGCAGGGUACUCGAGUGGCGAACGGGCGAGUAACACGCGGGUGAUCUGCCCUGCACUUCGGGAUAAGUCUGGGAAACUGGGCCUAAUACCGGAUAGGAGCCAUUUUUAGUGUGAUGGUUGGAAAGUUUUUUCGGUGUAUGAUGAGCUCGCGGCGUAUCAGCUUGUUGGUGGGGUAAUGGCCUACCAAGGCGGCGGCGGGUAGCCGGCCUGGGAGGGUGGACGGCCACAUUGGGACUGAUGUACGGCCCAGACACCGACGGGAGGCAGCAGGGGGGAAGAUUGCACGAUGGGCGCAAGCCUGAUGCAGCGACGCCGCGUGGGGGAUGACGGCCUUCGGGUUGUAAACUCCUUUCGCUAGGGACGAAGCUUUUUGUGACGGUACCUAGAUAAGAAGCACCGGCUAACUACGUG